rnacentral:tRNA from 1 species
ACCUGGCUGGCUCAGUGGGUAGAGCAUGCGAUUCUUGAUCUCAGGGUUGUGAGUUCAAGCCCCACGCUGGGCC